UACAGAGGUCUCAAGCGUUGUUCGGAUUCAUUGGGCGUAAAGAGCUUGUAGGCGGUUUGUCGCGUCUGCUGUGAAAUUUCGGGGCUCAACCCCGAACUUGCAGUGGGUACGGGCAGACAGAGUGUGGUAGGGGAGACUGGAAUUCCUGGUGUAGCGGUGAAAUGCGCAGAUAUCAGGAGGAACACCGAUGGCGAAGGGCAGGUCUCUGGGCCAUAACUGCGUGAGAAGCGAAAGCAUGG
rnacentral:rRNA from 1 species